UGCCCCGUGGUAUAAUUGGCAACACGGCUGAUUCUGGUUCAGCUAUUCUUGGUUCGAGUCCAAGCGGGGCAGCCA
rnacentral:tRNA from 1 species